UACGUAGGGUGCAAGCGUUGUCCGGAAUCAUUGGGCGUAAAGAGCGUGUAGGCGGCCCGGUAAGUCCGCUGUGAAAGUCCAGGGCUCAACCCUGGGAUGCCGGUGGAUACUGUCGGGCUCGAGUCCGGAAGAGGAGUGUGGAAUUCCUGGUGUAGCGGUGAAAUGCGCAGAUAUCAGGAGGAACACCAAUGGCGAAGGCAGCACUCUGGGACGUGACUGACGCUGAGACGCGAAAGCGUGGGGAGCGAACAGG
rnacentral:rRNA from 1 species